rnacentral:rRNA from 1 species
GGCCCUUCGCGUUAGGUAGAGAGGAUUUUGUAUGGGGGGUCGUGCCUGCCCGGUGACUGUGUGUUAAACGGCACGCGGUAUAUUAACCGUGCGAAGGUAGCAUAAUCAUUUGCCUAUUUAUUGUAGGCUUGUAUGAAUGGUUUGACGAAGGCUUAGCUGUCUUUUUAUGGUAUAUUAAAAAAUUAUUUUUUAGGUGAAAAUUCCUAAAUGUUACUGAGGGACGAUAAGACCCUAUCGAACUUUAGUGUAGGUCUUAGCAAUGACUGUUGUUCAUUAAUAAGUUGUGCUUUGGGUGAAUCUUUGGUUGGGGCGAUCAGAAAGGAUGUGAAGCCUUUUGUUUAAUUAGUAGUUGUUGGUAGAUGGAAGAUCUGGUGUAGUGCAGAAAAAAGAAUAAGUUACCGUAGGGAUAACAGCAUAAUUCUUCUGGAGAGCUCUUAUUGAGAGGAAGGUUUAUGACCUCGAUGUUGGAUUAAGAUUGCCUCAGGGUGCAGUAGUUCUGGAGGGUUAGUCUGUUCGACUAUUAAAAUCUUACA